rnacentral:rRNA from 1 species
GAGUUUGAUCUUGGCUCAGGAUGAACGCUGGCGGCGUGCCUAAUACAUGCAAGUCGAGCGAACGGACGAGAAGCUUGCUUCUCUGAUGUUAGCGGCGGACGGGUGAGUAACACGUGGGUAACCUACCUAUAAGACUGGGAUAACUCCGGGAAACCGGGGCUAAUACCGGAUAACACAUGAAACCGCAUGGUUUCAUGAUGAAAGACGGUCUUGCUGUCACUUAUAGAUGGAUCCGCGCUGCAUUAGCUAGUUGGUAAGGUAACGGCUUACCAAGGCAACGAUGCAUAGCCGACCUGAGAGGGUGAUCGGCCACACUGGAACUGAGACACGGUCCAGACUCCUACGGGAGGCAGCAGUAGGGAAUCUUCCGCAAUGGGCGAAAGCCUGACGGAGCAACGCCGCGUGAGUGAUGAAGGUCUUCGGAUCGUAAAACUCUGUUAUUAGGGAAGAACAUAUGUGUAAGUAACUGUGCACAUCUUGACGGUACCUAAUCAGAAAG